UAGGCCGUGUGGGGUAGGCUGUGUGGACUUUUUCUGUAGUGGGUCAGAUAGUAAAUGUUUCAGGCCUUGCAGGCCAUAUGUCUCUGUUGCUACUAUUCAGGUCUGCCACUGUAGCGUGAAAGCAGCCACAGACACUGCACUAUGUAAAUGAAUGUGGCUGUGUUCCAAUAAAACUCUUUAUCGCUAUUAAAAUUUGAAUUUUAUGUAAUUGUCACAUUUCACAAAAUAUUCUUAUUUUGAUUAACUUUUAUAUUUUAAAAUUGUUAAAUUCUUAGCUUGCUGUUCAUACAGAAGUCAUCAGGCAAGAUUUGGCUCACUGGCUGUAGUUUGCCAACUCCUGCUUUAGAAGUUCCUAGGAUUAUUAGAGUUUAUUUUUGACUAGUGUCUAUUUGGGGAAAUUAGGUACCUACUAUGUUUCAGGCACUGGUCUAAAAAUAUUGUAAAAUUUCCUGUUUCUUUCUGGUCUGGUCAUAUCUAAGGACUUGUAAUUGUCCCUACUUGUUUUGCUUUUCAGUACGGAGCCCCAGAUGCAGGUGGACUAGAACACGUUCCUCUGGGUUGGAGUUACUGGUAUGCCUUGGAAAAGAAUUCUAAGUAUUAUAAUUACACCCUGUCUAUCAAUGGGAAGGCACGGAAGCAUGGUGAAAACUAUAGUGUGGACUACCUGACAGAUGUUUUGGCUAAUGUCUCCUUGGACUUUCUGGACUACAAGUCCAACUUUGAGCCCUUCUUCAUGAUGAUCGCCACUCCAGCGCCUCAUUCGCCUUGGACAGCUGCACCUCAGUACCAGAAGGCUUUCCAGAAUGUCUUUGCACCAAGAAACAAGAACUUCAACAUCCAUGGAACGAACAAGCACUGGUUAAUUAGGCAAGCCAAGACUCCAAUGACUAAUUCUUCAAUACAGUUUUUAGAUAAUGCAUUUAGGAAAAGGUGGCAAACUCUCCUCUCAGUUGAUGACCUUGUGGAGAAACUGGUCAAGAGACUGGAGUUCACCGGGGAGCUCAACAAUACUUACAUCUUCUAUACCUCAGACAAUGGCUAUCACACAGGACAGUUUUCCUUGCCAAUAGACAAGAGACAGCUGUAUGAGUUUGAUAUCAAAGUGCCACUGUUGGUUCGAGGGCCUGGGAUCAAACCAAAUCAGACAAGCAAGAUGCUGGUUGCCAACAUUGACUUGGGUCCUACUAUUUUGGACAUUGCUGGCUACGACCUAAAUAAGACACAGAUGGAUGGGAUGUCCUUAUUGCCCAUUUUGAGAGGUGCCAGUAACUUGACCUGGCGAUCAGAUGUCCUGGUGGAAUACCAAGGAGAAGGCCGUAAUGUCACUGACCCAACAUGCCCUUCCCUGAGUCCUGGCGUAUCUCAAUGUUUCCCAGACUGUGUAUGUGAAGAUGCUUAUAACAAUACCUAUGCCUGUGUGAGGACAAUGUCAGCGUUGUGGAAUUUGCAGUAUUGCGAGUUUGAUGACCAGGAGGUGUUUGUAGAAGUCUAUAAUCUGACUGCAGACCCAGACCAGAUCACUAACAUUGCUAAAAGCAUAGACCCAGAGCUUUUAGGAAAGAUGAACUAUCGGUUAAUGAUGUUACAGUCCUGUUCUGGGCCAACCUGUCGCACUCCAGGGGUUUUUGACCCGGGAUACAGGUUUGACCCCCGUCUCAUGUUCAGCAAUCGCGGCAGUGUCAGGACUCGAAGAUUUUCCAAACAUCUUCUGUAGCGACCUCACACAGCCUCUGCAGAUGGAUCCCUGCACGCCUCUUUCUGAUGAAGUGAUUGUAGUAGGUGUCUGUAGCUAGUCUUCAAGACCACACCUGGAAGAGUUUCUGGGCUGGCUUUAAGUCCUGUUUGA
rnacentral:sRNA from 1 species